CGUUACACACACAUACUAUUGACUAGGAGCAUUAAGAUCCUUCCAUUGACCGAUUGUUUGUUAUGUCAUUGCAUUGGUCACUGAUUUUGAAUGCUUGUUUUGUUGUCGUAGGGCUGGGAGGAGGACCUGCUGCCUGAGGAGAGGGAGGUUCCUCUGCUAAACCUCUACCUUACCACCAAGAGAGUGGAGGACAUYGCCCUGAGGCUCGUCUCCCUGCGCCAGGCCUUCACUACCCUGCUUGGUUCCACCCUGAGCAGGAACCAUCUGUUUGUGGCGGGAAAGGUCCUCCUGAGCGCACUGGUUCAGG